GCCUGGCAGGCUCAGUUGGUGGAUCAUGUGACUCUUGAUCUCAGGAUUGUGAGUUCAAGCCCCACGUUGGGUA
rnacentral:tRNA from 1 species